rnacentral:lncRNA from 10 species
CAUGUACAACAUGAUGCCCUGAAAUAUGUCUACACUACGGGAUGGCCAAAUUGAGGCAAUUAACAUAUGCAAGACCUCACAAACUUCAAAUUUUUUGUGGUGAGAACACUUAAAAUCCACAAAAAUUAGUAAUGUUCAGAAAUACGGAUUUACCUGAACACCUGUUUUUCUGGGACACCAACCUGUAGCAGUACUAGAAACAGCAAAUACGUCUA